GAUUGAUUCAUUUAGAAGAAAGAAAAUCUGUUUUGUUUUGGGGUUUUUUUUGCCUCAUGGAUUUUUUUCUUUGGUAUUUAAAUGUCUGAGAUUUGAACAGUGACACAGUUAGGUCACUGAAUAUUCGAGUCCAUCCAAUCCUUAGAUUUUUCUGCAUUUGGCUCGUGCUGUUCUGUUACUUCAUUACUCUCCUGGGCAGUGUCACUUAAAAGCUCUUUUUGCUAAUUGAACAUACUGCUGCCAGUGAACUCAUAAAUUUUUUGUUACUUCUGUAAAGUUUCCAUCUUCGGUUCCAUAUUUCUUUAAAUGUGCUGUCCCAUGAACAUUCCAGACCACAGACAUCUCAGGACUCGAAGUCUACCAUGAACAGCCAUCUAGCCGCUGACUUUGUAUACCCAAGGCUAGGGCGGCUCUGAAGGCUCCUCCACACCCUGUGUUCUGGGAACUUUCUGGAUGAAGGACAGUACUUGCUCAUUCCUGCUCAUCUUUAAACAAAAACAUUGAGUUAAUGGUCCAUAAUAUUGAUCUGAACUGUCUGGAACUUAACACACCCCGUUUUGGGCAAAAGGCUCCUGGGAAGUUUCACUCCUAACGACUGAAGCUGUUAAAACCAGAUCCUAGGAAGAGAUAGCAAGCCACAAAACCCAGGCUCCUCCCUUAGGCUGGGGGAUACCUUUGUCCCUUGCAGUCCCCUGCUGGGGUGCAGGGCCAUUUAAGGGCAGUGUCCUUAUCAGCAUCUGAAGCUCUCCGAUUGUAUGAAGGAGAUUUUCAAUGACAUUAGGUUCACCUUGAUGAGCCCAUUGGAGAGGGGUUGUGGCUCCCAGACAUCUUCUUCCCGUUCUGGAUUCCUGCAGCAGUUAUAACAACAGUUUGUACCACACUGUCUUGUAUACCCAGCUGUUCAAACUCUCCUUGGACUUCCCAGUUUGGCUUCCCAACCUGACUGAAAGGCCCUUGACAUCAAGGACCAGCUUUCUGACUUCUUUUAUACCUUUAUAAGGUAUAAGGAAAGAUAAAGUGAUUUGGUGAAGGCUGUGCAGAUCCAAAAACCCAACGGUAACAUUCAUUUCCAGUUCACAGGAGCUGGGGCUGGGGAGGCAAGGGAAGCACUCAGCUCCCACAUGGUAUCUAAGGGAGCACCAAAGAGUUGAGGAAUCAAAACGAAUGAUUUUAAGGCAAUAUUUAAAAAUUAACACAAAAAAUCCAUGAUGAA
rnacentral:lncRNA from 1 species